CUCAUCCUUUUCCACAGAUUUGCCUUUUGCUUUCUCUGGAGAUGAAAAUUCGCAGCAUUGUACGUUUACUCACAGCUCUCCCACACAGCAGACAAAGAAACCCUAUCGUUGCUGCUAAAUCCAUGACAUUUCUCGACGCCCCACGGCGGGCCUUUUCAACUGCGCUACCAGAGAGCCAAGAGCUGAAGGAAUUCACGGAUUACAUGGAGAAACUCAACAACUACGAAAAAACCGGCGUUCCUAAAGGCGCCGGCACCGAUUCCGACGACGGAUUCGAUUUAGGUAGAAUGAGGAGAUUACUGCACAAUCUCGGCAAUCCCCAGUCCAAAUUCAAGGCUGUACAUAUUUCUGGUACGAAAGGGAAAGGAUCCACUGCUGCAUUUCUUUCCAGCAUUUUACGCGCGGAAGGGUUCUCUGUUGGUUGCUAUUCGAGUCCACAUAUUCGAACUAUUAGAGAGCGUAUAACACUGGGACCAGGUGGGGAGCCGGUUUCAGCAAAGGCUUUGAGUUCUCAUUUCCUCAAAAUAAAGGAGCUUAUUGACAUGACUGUAGAACUUGAAGAAGGGCAGCUAACUCAGUUUGAGAUUCUAACCGCUGUAGCGUUCAGCCUAUUUGCUGAAGAGAAGGUUCAUUUUGCAGUUAUUGAGGCUGGAUUAGGUGGAGCUCGGGAUGCAACUAAUGUACUUACUAGUUCCGAUCUGGCUGCGUCUAUAAUUACAAAUAUAGGUACAGAUCAUCUAGCUGCACUUGGUGGCUCUUUGGAGAGUAUUGCAGUGGCUAAAUCGGGAAUAAUCAAAGAACAGCGUCCACUGGUUCUAGGCGGUCCAUUUCUUCCACAUAUUGAACGUAUUAUUCGUGACAAGGCAUUAUCUAUGCGUUCACCUGUAAUAUCAGCAUCUGAUCCUGGAAAUAGAAGUGUUCUCAAAGGUUUUUCAACAGCAUGUGAUAUGCCCCGCCAAUUAUGUGAUAUUCUGCUCCUAAUCGAGAGGGACCUGCAAUUGUUCAUUGAGUUGUUUGAUGUACAAUUACGCCUUCUUGGCUCUCACCAGCUUCAGAACGCUGCUACUGCUACCUGUGCAGCACUUUGCCUUCGUGGUCAAGGAUGGAAAUUAUCGGAGAGAUCUAUACGUGUUGGUUUAGAAUGUGCAUGUUUGCUCGGUAGAAGCCAAUUUUUAACAUCCAAGGAAGCCGAGAUGCUAGGGUUUCCCGGAGCAACUAUACUGCUUGAUGGAGCUCACACCAAAGAAUCUGCACAAGCUUUGUUAACCAUGAUUAAGAUGGCAUUUCCCGAGUCAAGAUUGGUUCUUGUGGUGGCUAUGGCCAAUGAUAAAGAUCAUUUAGGUUUUGCGAGAGUGCUACUUUCGGCUGGAUGUCUCGAAGCUGUAUGUUUAACCGAAAUUGAUAUUGCUGGAGAAAGAUUCCGUACGACUUCAUCAUCCUCGUUAAAAGAAUCUUGGAUUCAAGCAUGUGGAGAAAAUGGUGCUGAUUUUCUUGAAUGCAAAACGGUCAAAGAUGAAUUGAUUGAGCGUCGUUGUACUAAAUCAAUUUUAUUCAUGGAGGGUUCGUUAAUGGCUUCGAUUAAAUUCGGAAAUCACAUCCUCACUGCAAAAUCUGGAUCCAAAAAUGGGAUAAUUGUAGUUACUGGAUCUUUGCAUAUUGUUUCGGCUGUUUUAGGUUCACUCGAAGGAUAAGCGAAUAUUUGCUAUUCGCUCUUUAACGAAAUUUUUGUUUUUAUAUUUGUUGUAAAACCUUGACUGUAAAUUUUUGGUUAUUGGUUUACGGAAUAGGUUAAGGUAACAAUUUGUUCGAUUAUCGUCAACACAUUAUAAGGUGGGGACACUUUUGUACUUCUGCCUAGAGUCUACUGUUUUCCAUUUUGUUAUUUACGGGUUUCUGCAUUUACCAGGUAUGCUUUCAAUAAUUUGCACUGUUCCUACCUAAUUUUUAAAGAUAAUUACUUUUCACUCUCUUAUUGCCGAUAAUCCUUACAGCAAUUCUUACUUCUCUCUGACUUAGAAGAUUAAUUUCUCAACCUUGCGAUUGUAACAUUUAUGCGACGGAAUGGCAUGGAGUCACUUUCUAGAUGUCAAACCAACGUACAUUUUUGGGUAAUGAUUUGGUGUUUGGUGCCAUUCAAAAUUUUGAUUUGUAAAAGGGGGGAUGCAUCAAUACCUGCUGCAAUGUAAGAUGGUGACUUCACAUCUAAACGGGCCAUGUAAAAUCUAUUUAGCAAUCAAGGAGGUGGGCCCCACCAUCAAAGGCUUCUUCUGAUCAGGCAAGCAUGUAGUCACCGGACACCCGCUCCAAAGCCUCGAUUUUUGUUACCGGCCGUUUCAAACAAACAACGUAGUAAGUUUUCAAAUGAGGUAAAGUCGUUAAAACACAUGGUAAAUUUUGUUGUCCUGCAUGCAGUAAUGGUGUUUCCGUCAUACAUUUUUGUGGGGCCCGCCGCCUUUAAUGGUGUUUUUUUUUUCGUCAGACUGUGUAAAUGAGUUAAAGACUGGAGAGGGAAAUCCACCUACCUUAUUUACUUGAGUUUUCUGUUA